GACGAACGCUGGCGGCGUGCUUAACACAUGCAAGUCGAACGGACAGGCCCUGCUUUUGUGGGGUGCUCGAGUGGCGAACGGGUGAGUAACACGUGAGUAACCUGCCCUUGUCUUUGGGAUAACUUCAGGAAACUGGGGCUAAUACCGGAUAGGAGCUCCUGCUGCAUGGUGGGGGUUGGAAAGUUUCGGCGGUUGGGGAUGGACUCGCGGCUUAUCAGCUUGUUGGUGGGGUAGUGGCUUACCAAGGCUUUGACGGGUAGCCGGCCUGAGAGGGUGACCGGGCACAUUGGGACUGAGAUACGGCCCAGACUCCUACGGGAGGCAGCAGUGGGGAAUAUUGCACAAUGGGGGGAAGCCUGAUGCAGCAACGCCGCGUGCGGGAUGACGGCCUUCGGGUUGUAAACCGAUUUCGCCGGUGAUGAAGCGUGAGUGACGGUAAUGGGUAAAGAAGCACCGGCUAACUACGUG
rnacentral:rRNA from 1 species